rnacentral:rRNA from 1 species
UACGUAGGGACCAAGCGUUGUUCGGAUUUACUGGGCGUAAAGGGCGCGUAGGCGGCGCGGUAAGUCACUUGUGAAAUCUCUGAGCUUAACUCAGAACGGCCAAGUGAUACUGCAGUGCUAGAGUGUGGAAGGGGCAAUCGGAAUUCUUGGUGUAGCGGUGAAAUGCGUAGAUAUCAAGAGGAACACCUGAGGUGAAGACGGGUUGCUGGACCAACACUGACGCUGAGGCGCGAAAGCCAGGGGAGCAAACGGG